GCAAACUUGGUCAUUUAGAGGAAGUAAAAGUCGUAACAAGGUUUCCGUAGGUGAACCUGCGGAAGGAUCAUUAACAAAUCUCUGCGUGCCAGUAGUACCCAGUCGAAAGACUGCUCUACUUGCACACAUAAGCACCCUAGGGCUCACGCCCUAGUGUGAGGGGGACCUACGGAGCAAUCCAGCGGUCCCCACAGGUCAUUCGUGACCACAUUAACGCUUGUUUGUUUGACAGAGUUAUGUGAAUACACAAAUUGACAACUUUUAACAAUGGAUCUCUUGGCUCUUGCAUCGAUGAAGAACGCAGC
rnacentral:misc_RNA from 1 species